UGGCGGACGGGUGAGUAAUGUCUGGGGAAACUGCCUGAUGGAGGGGGGUAACUACUGGAAACGGUAGCUAAUACCGCAUAACGUCGCAAGACCAAAGAAGGGGGACCUUCCGGGCCUCUUGCCAUCGGAUGUGCCCAGAUGGGAUUAGCUAGUAGGUGGGGUAACGGCUCACCUAGGCGACGAUCCCUAGCUGGUCUGAGAGGAUGACCAGCCACACUGGAACUGAGACACGGUCCAG
rnacentral:rRNA from 1 species